rnacentral:lncRNA from 1 species
GGGACAGAUGCCAGGCUGGCAGGGACUGAGUAAGGAAUGAAAAAUGACAAAGUCGGAAACAUGGGUUUGGACAAUCAAUGAAGGCUGCCCGAGAAGAGGGAGAGUAUGUAGUUAGAGCCACAUGUGAGCUUAAGGAUGGACUUAUGGUCUUUAUUUGAGGGAGAUACCCGGGCGUUCCAAUAUUGUGACGAAUGCGGGCCAGGUUGGAGCUGAGUGGAGCUGAUGCUUGGAAACAGUUGCUAGCAGUCAGAGAGAAUGCGAUCCAGACGGAGGAGGAGAAAUUAGCCUUUGCUUUCAGAGGAGCAGCUCUGUCCAUGGAAGAGGAAGGAAUGGAGAUGCCAGGAUGACAUUUGAAGCACAGGAGCCAGGGAGUGCAGAGAGUUCUGAGAAAAGCAGGAGACGAGCUCCUGAGCCCAAGUGCUGGUGGCAGCAGUGGAAGGUUGAAGGCACUGAAAGAGUUUUAGGGUGCUUGAAACAGCUGAUGGGAAACAGGAGAAGGUGACCAUUUGUACACGCAGAAGAGUGACCGCGAAAACUAGAAAAAUCCCUGGAAGCUAGCUGAGACUGGAGACCACAAAUCGGUGGUCCACACUCUGAGUUGAAGGCUACCUCAGACACUUCUCCGGAAUUCAUUAACAGGAUGUCCUUUAACCAACUAAAUGAGUGCGAAACCGCUGUGUGGGGGGUACCCCAAAUGAGGUCACGACCGGCUUCUCAGAAGAAAGGCGGUCUCUCAGCAGCCCCAGACUAUUCCCACAGCUGCUUGGAUGGUGGCUCAGGAGGCAGUGCCCUGUCCCCCUGGAACUCUGUCAAGUGGUAAGUCAUCUGUGUAUUUAACCAGUAGAGUCCAUGUUGAUGCUUGGGAUGGUUUCACUUUUGCAAAUCUUUGUUUCU